rnacentral:rRNA from 1 species
GGCAAUUUGGUGGAGAGAAUUGGGGAGAGUAUUGUUUGGGGUCCAGAACAAGAGGUAUCUCUGCAACGUUUCGAUAACUAUAAUGGUGAAUAUAUGAGAAUUGAAGAUGGAGAAUCCAUGGUUGCUGAAAUUGAUCAGCAAGAAGGGUGGGCAAGCAAACAAGUAACAUUUUAUGCAGAGCCAAUUGAUCUGCAAACUCAUUCCAGAGUUGGUUAUGUGCCAUCAAAGAUGGCUACACAGGUGGAAGACGAUGAGUGGGUUUCACAAAAGAAGAUGUUGGCAUUGUUGACUGAACCGACUGUAGUAGCUGAAGAUACAGGGAUUGAUGCAGAUGGAGAGGAGGGAACCCAUGGUGCUAGGAAGAUUGUUGUUGACUGGAAUGUAGUAGAGUUGAAUGAAAAAACAUAUUUGGUCAUUACACCAAUAUCUGACAUUGAUAUGGCCAAAAUGUUUGGCAUUCAAGUUGAUGACAAAGAUAAGGAGAAGGAUGACAGUUCUUUGCCUGCUGAUGGUAACACAAGCCCUAGAAAUGCAAAUGAGGAUGAAGAACAACUGAUGAGAGAGGCUGCAGAUGAUGCGGAUGAUGCAGAUGAUAAUGAGCUGGUUUGUUUGUAUGACAAAGAGAACCCAGUUAUUGAGGUGGGAAAGUUGUGGCCAAGCAUGAAGGAGUUUAGGAUGUCUUUCAGGACCUAUGCAGUGAAAAAAGUGUUUGAUGCCAAGACUAUGUGGACUGAUCGAAAGAAAUUUUAUGCUCAGUGCAAAGGUUAUGAUGGUGCUGGAAAUCCUUGCAAAUGGUACUUGUCUGCGAGACUACAACCUGAUGGAAGUACAGUAAAGGUAAAUCAAAUACCACACCAGCAUACAUGUAUGACCACUUCACAGAGAGUUUCAAAGAUGACAUCACAGCUUUGGGUUACAGAGAAGAUUACUCCUAUUUUAGCCAAGACUCCAAACACUACUGCAAAGAGGCUUAAAGUUGACUUGGAGAAGCUGUACCCCAUCCAGCUGCAAUAUACCACAGUGUGGAAAGCAAAACAAAGGGCCAUGAAAUCAUUGUAUGGUGACUGGGCAAAUACAUUUAGGAUGUUGUAUAGUUUUAAAGCAGAGGUGGAGAAGAGGUCACCUGGGAGUGUGGUGGAGAUAGAUACAGAGGUAACAGAGGAUGGCAAGGUUUUUUUCAGCAAGUUUUUUAUGUGUUUGAAGCCUUGCAUAGAUGGAUUCAAAGCAGGUUAUCGUCCAUAUUUGAGCAUAGACUCAUCUUUUUUGACUGGAAAGUGGAAUGGUCAGUUGGCU